rnacentral:rRNA from 1 species
AUGAACGCUAGCGACAGGCCUAACACAUGCAAGGUCAGGGGCAGCACAAGGAGCAAUCUGAGGUGGCGACCGGCGCACGGGUGAGUAACACGUAUGCAACCUGCCUGUAAGCGGGGAAUAACCCGUUGAAAGACGGACUAAUACCGCAUAAUACUAAAUUACUGCAUGGUAAUUUAUUUAAACAUUUAUGGCUUACAGAUGGGCAUGCGCAUGAUUAGCUAGUUGGAGAGGUAACGGCUCCCCAAGGCAACGAUCAUUAGGGUCUGAGAGGAAGGUCCCCCACACUGGUACUGAGACACGGACCAGACUCCUACGGGAGGCAGCAGUGAGGAAUAUUGGUCAAUGGACGAGAGUCUGAACCAGCCAAGUCGCGUGCAGGAAGAAUGUCCUUAAUGGAUUGUAAACUGCUUUUGCAGGGGAAUAAAGUGCAUCACGUGUGAUGUUUUGUAUGUACUCUGCGAAUAAGGAUCGGCUAACUCCGUGCCAGCCGCAGC